CAUCAGGAUGACAUAAGAGGGUCCCAGAGAACAGACACUUCCUUCCAUGCUUAGCAAGUGAACAAGAGAUGACAUGAAAGUUGUUCAGGGAAAAAAGCCAAACAAACAAGCAAAAACAAAAUGACAGAAAAAGAAAUAAAUUAGUGAAAAUCACACAGAAACAAUGGGAGUUUGCAGAAAAAAAUAUCUAUGAAUACAAAGAAUAAGCUAAAGGCAUAGAGGCUGGAAAUGCAGAAAUGGGCUAUACCAAGGAAAGGAACAGAAAACCUAAAUUCCUUCAAACAUAAAAGGAGAAAAGCAGAGUAUAACAGAAUUGGAAUGACAAAAAUGCUGAAAAAUAUUCUGAAAGACACAAGAAAAACAUAGACAUAAAAGAACACUGCCCUAAGAUAAAGAGAGAAACAAGAGCCCAGUUUCAGGAUCCACUGUAGCCCUCUGCAGCAGCUGCACGUAGGUGAGGUUCUCGUGUGUGUUGGGGUCGAAGAAGCCCUUGGUGUCGUCGCCCGGGUCCGCCAGGACGCGGCUCAUCUCGUGGUCGAAGUAGCCGCGCUGGUAGGCCACGUCCACGGGCACUCGGUGAGGUUCUCGUGUGUGUUGGGGUCGAAGAAGCCCUUGGUGUCGUCGCCCGGGUCCGCCAGGACGCGGCUCAUCUCGUGGUCGAAGUAGCCGCGCUGGUAGGCCACGUCCACGGGCACUCGGUGGCUGUGCACGGGGUCGAUGACGCCGCCCGUGGCGAUCUGGGCCUCCAGCAGCCGGAUGCCGUGGUCGCGCACGAUGAGGUCCCUCUGCAUGGCCUGGAAGAGCGAGAUCUGCUCCCCGGAGUAGGGGUCGGUGUAGCCGGUGACCGCGCGCUCAGCGGACAG
rnacentral:lncRNA from 1 species